CGUGUAGCUCAGCCGGUAGAGCAGCGCACUCGUAACGCGAAGGUCGCAGGUUCGAUUCCUGUCUCGACCA
rnacentral:tRNA from 1 species